CUUGAAUAACUAUAAGAGGUCCAGCCUGCCCAGUGACUUUGUUCAACGGCCGCGGUAUCCUAACCGUGCGAAGGUAGCGUAAUCACUUGUCUUUUAAAUGGGGACUUGUAUGAACGGCAUCACGAGGGUUAUACUGUCUCCUUUUUCUAAUCAGUGAAACUAAUCUUCCCGUGAAGAAGCGGGAAUAAACAUAUAAGACGAGAAGACCCUAUGGAGCUUUAAACUCAAUAACAAAUACUGACCUUACAUCAACUUUCAGAAGAUUCACCUUAAUUUUAGUAUUAUGAUUAUUAGUUUUAGGUUGGGGUGACCGCGGAGUAAAAAUUAACCUCCACAUUGAACGGGACCUAUCCCUGAGCCAAGAACUACAGCUCAAAGCACCAACAAAUUGACAUUAAUUGACCCAAUAUUUUGAUCAACGAAC
rnacentral:rRNA from 1 species